GAUCGUCGGAGGAUAAAGCCUUAAUUCAUGAUCUC
rnacentral:ncRNA from 1 species